CUCUUCACUGCACUGCGUCUUCUUUCCAAGGGUCUCGGUGAUUCGGCCACAGCCUCAGCCUCCAUCACGCGGUGAACUGAUGGUGUUGGAAGAUUCAUAGACUCCAGGACAUUCCUGAAGCCGAGAAAAGGUUAAGUAGGGUCUGGCCUGGAAUACUCUCCUAGAUGAAAAUAGCCCAACCAUGAGCCACCUUCUCAGCAGAUGAGAUGAAAUUAAAGCUCUUCAACUCCUCAAGGCCCAGAGACUAUCACAAAAGAGGUCAGAAAUCCUGAAGGUCACUUUCUGACAAACUCAGGAGCCCCAGGUUUAUCUUGGAGCCUCAAGAGGAGAUAAAUUCACCCAACUCAGGCUGGAGUGCAGUGGAAUGAUCUUGGCUCACUUCUAUCUCUGCCUUCCAGUUUCAAGUGAUUCUCCUGCCUCAGCCUACUGAGUAGUUGGGAUUACAGGUGCCUGCCACCACACCCAGCUAAUUUUUGUAUUUUUAGUAAAGAUGGGGUUUCACCAUGUUGGCCAGGCUGGUCUCAAACUCCUGAUGUCAUGAUCUGCCCGCUUCAGUCUCCCAAAGUGUGAUUACAGAGUUUUGCUCUUGGUGCCCAGGCUGGAGUGCAUUGGCACGAUCUCUGGCUCACUGUGACCUCUGCCUCCCAGGUUCAAGCGAUUCUCCUGCCUCAGCCUCCUGAGUAGCUGGGAUUACGGGCAUGUGCCCCCAUGCCUGGCUAAUUUUGAAUUUUUAGUAGAAACAGGGUUUCUCCAUGUUGGUCAGGCUGGUCUUGAACUGCCAACCUCAGGUGAUCUGCCCACUUUGGCCUCCCAAAGUGCUGGGAUUACAG
rnacentral:lncRNA from 1 species